UACAGAGGUGACUAGCGUUGUCCGGAAUUAUUGGGCGUAAAGGGCGCGUAGGUGGUCAGGUAAGUCAGGUGUGAAAGCUCUGGGCUUAACCCAGGAAUUGCAUCUGAUACUGCUUGGCUUGAGUACGGUAGAGGAGGGUGGAAUUCCCAGUGUAGCGGUGAAAUGCGUAGAUAUUGGGAGGAACACCGGUGGCGAAGGCGGCCCUCUGGACCGAAACUGACACUGAAGCGCGAAAGCUAGGGGAGCAAACGGG
rnacentral:rRNA from 1 species